rnacentral:lncRNA from 1 species
CUAUAUAAGGAGUUGUCUCCAUGACGAGUUCGUCUUACUCUAUCCCAUGUUUUUUCUGCGUUAAAUGUGUGUGUGACAUCGUCAGUUCGGCCGCCGUCGCGGCGUGUGCCCCUAAGUUUUGCAUCAGUGUGCUUUGUGACAUCGGCUGUAUUGCGUUUUUUCGCCGACGGCUUACUACCACAAUGGGGGGGAUCUGCGUUCGCUACCUUCGUUCUCGAUGCGCCUUUGUACGGCGCACGUUGGAUAGCACUUUUUCAGACGGCGGGACAUCUUGGUGUCUUGGUGCUAGCGGGAUGGCGGGACCUCAUCAUUGUGAUCAGUGAUGUAUGCUUUGCUGCUUGGAUUGAUAAAACAUGGGCUGAGGCUUCCAUACAAGAACGAACUUCAAUUUGGCUCUACCACCAUCGGUGCUUGGCUGGCGCCUGCCGAAUGACUCGUCGCAGAGUUUGCUUGCCUGUGUCUGCAAGAACCUUCAUGCGUGACCUGCGACAGAAAGCAUUUGUGGGCAGCCAGUGCUCUCCUACAAAGACUGGCCUGCUCUGGCUGCGACAGCAAUCGUCUCGAAGAUCUAUGCAUGGCCACCUUUGCUGCUAUUUGUCACUCUUGUUAAUUACACUUUCUGCAUCUUUUCUCAUUUAUUAGGUAAUAAAGUUUGACUGUGUGGCAUGAUGUGAAGUAGAUGUCUUGCAGCAUUUUGGCUUGCAGUCCUGUUCUAUGCACUUCAUGAAAAGCUCAUCGUACAGUGU